GAUGAACGCUGGCGGCGUGCCUAAUACAUGCAAGUCGAGCGAACGGACGAGAAGCUUGCUCCUCUGAUGUUAGCGGCGGACGGGUGAGUAACACGUGGAUAACCUACCUAUAAGACUGGGAUAACUUCGGGAAACCGGAGCUAAUACCGGAUAAUAUUUUGAACCGCAUGGUUCAAAAGUGAAAGACGGUCUUGCUGUCACUUAUAGAUGGAUCCGCGCUGCAUUAGCUAGUUGGUAAGGUAACGGCUUACCAAGGCAACGAUGCAUAGCCGACCUGAGAGGGUGAUCGGCCACACUGGAACUGAGACACGGCCCAGACUCCUACGGGAGGCAGCAGUAGGGAAUCUUCCGCAAUGGGCGAAAGCCUGACGGAGCAACGCCGCGUGAGUGAUGAAGGUCUUCGGAUCGUAAAACUCUGUUAUUAGGGAAGAACAUAUGUGUAAGUAACUGUGCACAUCUUGACGGUACCUAAUCAGAAAGCCACGGCUAACUACGUG
rnacentral:rRNA from 1 species